rnacentral:tRNA from 1 species
CGUGGGUUGUAGCAGUGAUAGCUUACUUGGCUCAUAACCAAGUGGUCGUUGGUUUGAAUCCAACACCCACAA